UACGUAGGGUGCGAGCGUUGUCCGGAAUUAUUGGGCGUAAAGGGCUCGUAGGCGGUUUGUCGCGUCGGGAGUGAAAACUCAGGGCUUAACCCUGAGCCUGCUCCGAUACGGGCAGACUAGAGGUAUGCAGGGGAGAACGGAAUUCCUGGUGUAGCGGUGAAAUGCGCAGAUAUCAGGAGGACACCGGUGGCGAAGGCGGCGACCUGGGUAGAUACUGACGCUGAGGUGCGAAAGCGUGGGAGCAAACAGG
rnacentral:rRNA from 1 species